rnacentral:rRNA from 1 species
GGAUUAGAUACCCUGGUAGUCCACGCCGUAAACGAUGAGAGCUAGCCGUUGGGAAGUUUACUUUUCAGUGGCGCAGCUAACGCAUUAAGCUCUCCGCCUGGGGAGUACGGUCGCAAGAUUAAAACUCAAAUGAAUUGACGGGGGCCCGCACAAGCGGUGGAGCAUGUGGUUUAAUUCGAAGCAACGCGAAGAACCUUACCAGCUCUUGACAUACCAAUCGCGGAUCGUGGAGACACUUUCCUUCAGUUCGGCUGGAUUGGAUACAGGUGCUGCACGGCUGUCGUCAGCUCGUGCUG